rnacentral:rRNA from 1 species
AAACAGAGUAUUGCCUUAGUUAGCGGCGAGUGAGCGGCAAAGCUUCAAUUUUGAAAUCCUGGCUCUUUCAGAGUCCGAGUUGUAAUUCUGAAGAAGGUAUCUUUGGGUCUGGCUCUUGUCUAUGUUUCUUGGAACAGAACGUCACAGAGGGUGAGAAUCCCGUGCGAUGAGAUGAUCCAGGCCUAUGUAAAGUUCCUUCGAAGAGUCGAGUUGUUUGGGAAUGCAGCUCUAAGUGGGUGGUAAAUUCCAUCUAAAGCUAAAUAUUGGCGAGAGACCGAUAGCGAACAAGUACAGUGAUGGAAAGAUGAAAAGAACUUUGAAAAGAGAGUGAAAAAGUACGUGAAAUUGUUGAAAGGGAAGGGCUUGAGAUCAGACUUGGUAUUUUGUAUGUUACUUCUUCGGGGGUGGCCUCUACAGUUUAUCGGGCCAGCAUCAGUUUGGGCGGUAGGAGAAUUGCGUUGGAAUGUGGCACGGCUUCGGUUGUGUGUUAUAGCCUUCGUCGAUACUGCCAGCCUAGACUGAGGACUGCGGUUUAUACCUAGGAUGUUGGCAUAAUGAUCUUAAGUCGCCCGUCUUGAAAAAAAGGAACCCAAAAAAUGCGAGUGUUUGGGUGUAAAACCCGUACGCGUAAUGAAAGUGAACGUAGGUGGGGGCCCGUAUGGGUGCACCAUCGACCGAUC